UCUCCGUAGGUGAACCUGCGGAGGGAUCAUUACACAAAAAAUAUGAAGGCUGCACGCGGCUGCGUCUCCGGACCAGUUGCUGAGGCUGAACUAUUUUUCACCCAUGUCUUUUGCGCACUUGUUGUUUCCUGGGCGGGUUCGCUCGCCACCAGGACCACACCAUAAACCUUUUUUAUGCAGUUGCAAUCAGCGUCAGUAUAACAAAUGUAAAUCAUUUACAACUUUCAACAACGGAUCUCUUGGUUCUG
rnacentral:misc_RNA from 1 species